UACGUAGGCAGCGAGCGUUGUUCGGAGUUACUGGGCGUAAAGAGUGCGUAGGCGGUUUUCUAAGUUUGGUGUGAAAUCUCCCGCUUAACUGGGAGGGUGCGCCGAAAACUGGAAGGCUUGAGUAUGGGAGAGGUAAGCGGAAUUCCUGGUGUAGCGGUGAAAUGCGUAGAUAUUGGGAGGAACACCGGUGGCGAAGGCGGCCCCCUGGACCGGUACUGACGCUGAUGCGCGAAAGCGUGGGGAGCAAACGGG
rnacentral:rRNA from 1 species